rnacentral:rRNA from 1 species
GUGAGGAAUUUUCCGCAAUGGGCGAAAGCCUGACGGAGCAAUGCCGCGUGAAGGAUGAAGGCCUAUGGGUUGUAAACUUCUUUUCUCAGAAAAGAAUUAUGACGGUAUCUGAGGAAUAAGCAUCGGCUAACUCUGUGCCAGCAGCCGCGGUAAGACAGAGGAUGCAAGCGUUAUCCGGAAUGAUUGGGCGUAAAGCGUCUGUAGGUUGUUUAAAAAGUAUUCUGUCAAAGAUUAGGGCUUAACCCUAGAUAGGCAGAAUAAACUUUUAAGCUAGAGUGUGGUAGAGGCAGAGGGAAUUCCCGGUGGAGCGGUAAAAUGCGUAGAUAUCAGGAGGAACACCAAAGGCGAAGGCACUCUGCUGGGCCAAUACUAACACUGAGAGACGAAAGCGAGGGGAGCAAAUGGGAUUAGAAACCCUGGUAGUCC